UACGUAGGGUGCAAGCGUUAAUCGGAAUACUGGGCGUAAAGCGUGCGCAGGCGGUUAUGUAAGACAGAUGUGAAAUGCCCGGGCUUAACCUGGGAACUGCAUUUGUGACUGCAUGGCUAGAGUUUGGCAGAGGGGGGUAGAAUUCCACGUGUAGCAGUGAAAUGCGUAGAUAUGUGGAGGAACACCGAUGGCGAAGGCAGCCCCCUGGGUCAAGAUUGACGCUCAUGCACGAAAGCGUGGGGAGCAAACAGG
rnacentral:rRNA from 1 species